GCAAAUAAAUAAAGCUGCAUUCGUUGAUAAAAUUAAUUCAAUAGUUUUAUAAACAAGACUGACUCUGUUACAGUCCGCAGAUAAGUUAGGGACAGAGCGUCUGAGAACAAGUAUCAUUUACGAGAGCUUAAAAAAAGUAUCUGCUGUUUUCCGUAUCCAUUUUUUUCUACAUCGCUGACUUAGAGCUGCUUAUAAAAAAGAUUCGCGCGCAGAUCAGUAUUGUCCAUCUUACGUUGGCUGACUGACUCAGUAGUUCAGGUGAAAAUGUCGGAGCAGCAACCAAAAGCAAAUACCACCGAAGGAAACACCGCACCACGUGGAGCAGAGGGAGGUGCAAGAGGAGCUGCAGAUAACCAACAGACUCAACCUCGUCCCCUUAGAGAAGUUCACAGGAACCAAGCGCCUGCCCAUUCUAGAUACCAAAACUGUAAUUUACUGAGAGAUUUACUGGAGAAAGAGGAGUAAUCCUUCAAACAGAAGAACUGUUUGAACAAUGAGCCAUCUUAAAUGUCACAUUUGUUACAUAAUUUUAAAAUUAUUUGGUUUGAAGGAUUGAGAAAGCUCCUGAUAAAUUAAUAUCGUUUUUAUUUUACAUAAGUGUCAUUUAAUUAUAAAAAAAAAAAAAAAUGUGUUUCUAGCAAGAAAAUUCAAUAUGUCACGCAUGAAUAUAUAAAAAUAAUAAAUAUCUAACUUUGCUGAUGAAAUUUAUGUGAUUUCUGAGAGGAAUAUAGGUACAUUUAAUUAGUUUC